rnacentral:rRNA from 1 species
UUAAACUGAAGAGUUUGAUCAUGGCUCAGAUUGAACGCUGGCGGCAGGCUUAACACAUGCAAGUCGAGCGGUAACAGGGGGAGCUUGCUCCCUGCUGACGAGCGG